rnacentral:rRNA from 1 species
CUACGGGGGGCUCCAGUGGGGAAUAUUGGACAAUGGGGGAAACCCUGAUCCAGCAAUGCCGCGUGUGUGAAGAAGGCCUGCGGGUUGUAAAGCACUUUCGGUUGGGAGGACUGCUUCUAGCACUAAUAUUGUUGGAAGUUGACGUUACCUUCAGAAGAAGCACCGGCUAACUCCGUGCCAGCAGCCGCGGUAAUACGGAGGGUGCAAGCGUGAAUCGGAAUUACUGGGCGUAAAGCGCGCGUAGGCGGCUAGAUCAGUCGGGUGUGAAAGCCCCGGGCUUAACCUGGGAACGGCAUCCGAUACUGUCUAGCUUGAGUACAGGAGAGGAGAGUGGAAUUCCACAUGUAGCGGUGAAAUGCGUAGAUAUGUGGAGGAACACCAAUGGCGAAGGCAGCUCUCUGGCCUGAUACUGACGCUGAGGUGCGAAAGCGUGGGGAGCAAACAGGAUUAGAUACCCUAGUAGUC